CUGGUUGAUCCUGCCAGUAGUCAUAUGCUUGUCUUAAGGAUUAAGCCAUGCAUGUCUCAGUACAAGCAUCCUUGUACCGUGAAACUGCGAAUGGCUCAUUACAACAGUUAUAGUUUAUUUGAUCGUGCGGAGCUACGUGGAUAACCGUAGGAAUUCUAGAGCUAAUACAUGCACCGUCGCCGAGGAUCUUUGGUUAGACUUCGGCGGGAUUUAUUAGAUCAAAAACCAAUCGUCUCUCCCGUUAUUUCGGGAGAGGCGUGGUGGGAUGAAUCAUAAUAACUUUACCGAAUCGUAUGGCUUAAAUUAGGCCGACGAUAAAUCAUUCAAAUUUCUGCCCUAUCAACUUUCGAUGGUAGGGUAGUGGCCUACCAUGGUGUUGACGGGUGACGGAGAAUUAGGGUUCGAUUCCGGAGAGGGAGCCUGAGAAACGGCUACCACAUCCAAGGAAGGCAGCAGGCGCGCAAAUUACCCAAUCCUGAUUCAGGGAGGUAGCGACAAGAAAUAACGAUAGUGGGCUCGUUCGAGUCCGCGCAUCGGAAUGAGGAUAAUUUACACCCCUUCUCGAGGAUCCAUUGGAGGGCAAGUCUGGU
rnacentral:rRNA from 1 species